UACGUAGGGUGCAAGCGUUUGUCCGGAAUUAUUGGGCGUAAAGAGCUCGUAGGCGGUCUGUCGCGUCUGCUGUGAAAACUCAGGGCUUAACCCUGAGCUUGCAGUGGGUACGGGCAGACUAGAGUGCGGUAGGGGAGAUUGGAAUUCCUGGUGUAGCGGUGGAAUGCGCAGAUAUCAGGAGGAACACCGAUGGCGAAGGCAGAUCUCUGGGCCGUAACUGACGCUGAGGAGCGAAAGCAUGGGGAGCGAACAGG
rnacentral:rRNA from 1 species